rnacentral:piRNA from 1 species
UUAUCUCUGUGAUCUAACUGAUGCCGUGGC